rnacentral:rRNA from 1 species
GUGAGGAAUUUUCCGCAAUGGGCGAAAGCCUGACGGAGCAAUGCCGCGUGAAGGAUGAAGGCCUAUGGGUUGUAAACUUCUUUUCUCAGAAAAGAAUUAUGACGGUAUCUGAGGAAUAAGCAUCGGCUAACUCUGUGCCAGCAGCCGCGGUAAGACAGAGGAUGCAAGCGUUAUCCGGAAUGAUUGGGCGUAAAGCGUCUGUAGGUUGUUUAAAAAGUAUUCUGUCAAAGAUUAGGGCUUAACCCUAGAUAGGCAGAAUAAACUUUUAAGCUAGAGUUUGGUAGAGGCAGAGGGAAUUCCCGGUGGAGCGGUGAAAUGCGUAGAUAUCGGGAGGAACACCAAAGGCGAAGGCACUCUGCUGGGCCAAUACUAACACUGAGAGACGAAAGCGAGGGGAGCAAAUGGGAUUAGAAACCCUGGGUAGUCC